rnacentral:rRNA from 1 species
UAUUUUAAAGAGAGUUUGAUCCUGGCUCAGGACGAACGCUGGCGGCGUGCCUAAUACAUGCAAGUCGAACGAACGGAGGAAGAGCUUGCUCUUCCAAAGUUAGUGGCGGACGGGUGAGUAACACGUGGGCAACCUGCCUGUAAGUUGGGGAUAACUCCGGGAAACCGGGGCUAAUACCGAAUGAUAGA